CAGUAGCCGCGGUAAUACGGAGGGUGCAAGCGUUAAUCGGAAUUACUGGGCGUAAAGCGCACGCAGGCGGUUUGUUAAGUCAGAUGUGAAAUCCCCGAGCUUAACUUGGGAACUGCAUUUGAAACUGGCAAGCUAGAGUCUUGUAGAGGGGGGUAGAAUUCCAGGUGUAGCGGUGAAAUGCGUAGAUAUUGGGAAGAACACCGGUGGCGAAGGCGGCGACCUGGUCCUUGACUGACGCUGAGGCGCGAAAGCGUGGGGAGCAAACGGGAUUAGAUACCCGCGUAGUCCCUGUCUCUUAUAC
rnacentral:rRNA from 1 species